rnacentral:rRNA from 1 species
GAUGAACGCUGGCGGCGUGCCUAAUACAUGCAAGUCGAGCGAACAGACGAGGAGCUUGCUCCUCUGACGUUAGCGGCGGACGGGUGAGUAACACGUGGAUAACCUACCUAUAAGACUGGGAUAACUUCGGGAAACCGGAGCUAAUACCGGAUAAUAUAUUGAACCGCAUGGUUCAAUAGUGAAAGACGGUUUUGCUGUCACUUAUAGAUGGAUCCGCGCCGCAUUAGCUAGUUGGUAAGGUAACGGCUUACCAAGGCAACGAUGCGUAGCCGACCUGAGAGGGUGAUCGGCCACACUGGAACUGAGACACGGUCCAGAAUCCUAAGGGAGGCAGCAGUAGGGAAUCUUCCGCAAUGGGCGAAAGCUUGACGGAGCAAAGCCGCGUGAGUGAUGAAGGUCUUCGGAUCGUAAAACUCUGUUAUUAGGGAAGAACAAAUGUGUAAGUAACUAUGCACGUCUUGACGGUACCUAAUCAGAAAGCCACGGCUAACUACGUG